UAGGGAAUCUUCCACAAUGGACGCAAGUCUGAUGGAGCAACGCCGCGUGAGUGAAGAAGGUCUUCGGAUCGUAAAGCUCUGUUGUUGGUGAAGAAGGAUAGAGGCAGUAACUGGUCUUUAUUUGACGGUAAUCAACCAGAAAGUCACGGCUAACUACGUGCCAGCAGCCGCGGUAAUACGUAGGUGGCAAGCGUUGUCCGGAUUUAUUGGGCGUAAAGCGAGCGCAGGCGGAAUGAUAAGUCUGAUGUGAAAGCCCACGGCUCAACCGUGGAACCGCAUCGGAAACUGUCAUUCUUGAGUGCAGAAGAGGAGAGUGGAACUCCAUGUGUAGCGGUGGAAUGCGUAGAUAUAUGGAAGAACACCAGUGGCGAAGGCGGCUCUCUGGUCUGCAACUGACGCUGAGGCUCGAAAGCAUGGGUAGCG
rnacentral:rRNA from 1 species